rnacentral:rRNA from 1 species
CACUGGGUUUAAGGGUGCGUAGGUGGGUUGGUAAGUCAGUGGUGAAAUCCCCGAGCUUAACUUGGGAACUGCCAUUGAUACUAUCAGUCUUGAAUACCGUGGAGGUUAGUGGAAUAUGUCAUGUAGCGGUGAAAUGCUUAGAUAUGACAUAGAACACCAAUUGCGAAGGCAACUGACUACACGAGUAUUAACACUGAGGCACGAAAGCGUGGGGAUCAAACAGGAUUAGAUACCCUGGUAGUCCACGCCCUAAACUAUGGAUACUCGACAUUUGCGAUAAACUGUAAGUGUCUGAGCGAAAGCAUUAAGUAUCCCACCUGGGAAGUACGACCGCAAGGUUGAAACUCAAAGGAAUUGGCGGGGGCCCGCACAAGCGGUAAUCGA